rnacentral:rRNA from 1 species
ACUUAAAGGAAUUGGCGGGGGAGCACUACAACGGGUGGAGCCCGCGGUUUAAUUGGAUUCAACGCCGGGAAGCUUACCGGGAUCGACAGCGAUAUGAAGGCCAGGCUGAAGACCUUGCCGGAUUAGCUGAGAGGUGGUGCAUGGCCGUCGUCAGUUCGUACUGUGAAGCAUCCUGUUAAGUCAGGCAACGAGCGAGACCCACGCCCACAGUUGCCAGCGUACUCUCUGGAGUGACGGGUACACUGUGGGGACCGCCGCUGCUAAAGCGGAGGAAGGAAUGGGCAACGGUAGGUCAGUAUGCCCCGAAUGUCCCGGGCUACACGCGGGCUACAAUGGUUGGUACAAUGGGUAUCUACCCCGAAAGGGGAUGGAAAUCUCCUAAAGCCAAUCUUAGUUCGG